UACGGAGGGGGCGAGUGUUUCUAGUCAUGACUGGGCGUAAAGCGCACGUAGGCGGCUUUGUAAGUUAGAGGUGAAAGCCCAGGGCUCAACCCUGGAAUUGCCUUUAAGACUGCAUCGCUUGAACAUCGGAGAGGUAAGUGGAAUUCCGAGUGUAGAGGUGAAAUUCGUAGAUAUUCGGAAGAACACCAGUGGCGAAGGCGACUCACUGGUCCGGUUCUGACGCUGAGGCGCGAAAGCGUGGGGAGCAAACAGG
rnacentral:rRNA from 1 species